ACUCAAAGGAAUAGACGGGGGCCCGCACAAGCAGUGGAGUAUGUGGUUUAAUUCGACGCAACGCGAAGAACCUUACCAAGGCUUGACAUCCUGCUAACGAAGCAGAGAUGCAUUAGGUGCCCUUCGGGGAAAGCAGAGACAGGUGGUGCAUGGUUGUCGUCAGCUCGUGUCGUGAGAUGUUGGGUUAAGUCCCGCAACGAGCGCAACCCUUACGGUUAGUUGCUACGCAAGAGCACUCUAGCCGGACUGCCGUUGACAAAACGGAGGAAGGUGGGGACGACGUCAAAUCAUCAUGCCCCUUAAGUCUUGGGCUACACACGUACUACAAUGGCAAUUGAACAACGGGGAGCUAAGCCGCGAGGUGGAGCAAAUCCCAAAAAAUUGCCUCAGUUCAGAUUGCAGGCUGCAACCCGCCUGCAUGAAGUCGGAAUUGCUAGUAAUCGCGGAUCAGCAUGCCGCGGUGAAUACGUUCCCGGGCCUUGUACACACCGCCCGU
rnacentral:rRNA from 1 species